UACGUAGGCAGCAAGCGUUGUUCGGAUUUACUGGGCGUAAAGGGUGCGUAGGCGGCUCUAUAAGUAUGGUGUGAAAUCUCCCGGCUUAACUGGGAGGGUGCGCUAUAGACUGUGGGGCUAGAGUGUGGGAGAGGAAAGUGGAAUUCCUGGUGUAGCGGUGAAAUGCGUAGAUAUCAGGAGGAACACCGGUGGUGUAAACGGCUUUCUGGGCCAUAACUGACGCUGAGGCACGAAAGCGUGGGUAGCAAACAGG
rnacentral:rRNA from 1 species